GAUGAACGCUAGCGGGAGGCCUAACACAUGCAAGCCGAGCGGUAUUGUUUCUUCGGAAAUGAGAGAGCGGCGUACGGGUGCGGAACACGUGUGCAACCUGCCUUUAUCUGGGGGACAGCCUUUCGAAAGGAAGAUUAAUACUCCAUAAUAUAUUGAACGGCAUCGUUUAAUAUUGAAAGCUCCGGCGGAUAGAGAUGGGCACGCGCAAGAUUAGCUAGUUGGUGAGGUAACGGCUCACCAAGGCAAUGAUCUUUAGGGGGCCUGAGAGGGUGAUCCCCCACACUGGUACUGAGACACGGACCAGACUCCUACGGGAGGCAGCAGUUAGGAAUAUUGGUCAAUGGGUGCAAGCCUGAACCAGCCAUCCCGCGUGAAGGACGACUGCCCUAUGGGUUGUAAACUUCUUUUGUAUAGGGAUAAACCUUUCCACGUGUGGAAAGCUGAAGGUACUAUACGAAUAAGCACCGGCUAACUCCGUGCCAGCAGCCGCGGUAACAC
rnacentral:rRNA from 1 species